rnacentral:misc_RNA from 1 species
GAACAUAUGCCAAUCUUGCUUAGCAAACUUGGUAUGAAAUAGUCGGCAAUUGAAUGGAUUACCACUGAAUUGUAUACAAUCCAGGGAGUUCCAAGAAACAUAAAUAAAUAAAUGAAUACUCUUUGAUUCGAGCUAUUCUUUCUGUUUUGGUUCCCUUCUUGAUCUUCGAAGCUGGGGAUAACCUCGGAUAUAGUAUUGCCAUCUCCUGUGACCCUUUGAUUCAAGCCAUCUGCUGUGCCGUGGGACUCAAAAUCGCCAUUGCUGUUAGCGUUUUGGACAUCUGUAGGAUUCCCAGCUUCCAAGUCAGUCAUAUUGUCUGAUCGAUCUUGAAUGCUUGAUGAUGGAGAUAAUCUUUGAAGAUCGCCAUUGCUGUUAGCUUUUUGGACUUCUGUAGGAUACCCAGCUUCCAAGUCAUUCAUAUUAGCUGAACAAUCUUGAAUUCUUGAUAAUAUAGAUAAUCUUUGAAGGAUUUGGAUUGCUUCAGCAGCUCCCUUUACCACUCUCCUUCCUUUAUUUCCUCUCGGAGUUAAC